rnacentral:rRNA from 1 species
CCUACGGGUGGCAGCAGUGAGGAAUAUUGGUCAAUGGCCGGAAGGCUGAACCAGCCAUGCCGCGUGAAGGUCAGUGCCCUAUGGGCGUUAAACUUCUUUUGUGCGGGAGCAAUACUGGUCACGUGUGGCCAGACGAGAGUACCGUACGAAUAAGCAUCGGCUAACUCCGUGCCAGCAGCCGCGGGAAUACGGGGGAUGCAAGCGUUAUCCGGAGUUAUUGGGUUUAAAGGGUGCGUAGGCUGUGAGGUAAGUCAGCGGUGAAAUGCCCCCGCUCAACGGGGUGAAGUGCCAUUGAUACUGCCUGGCUGGAGUGCGGAUGCCGGGGGAGGAAUGUGUGGUGUAGCGGUGAAAUGCAUAGAUAUCACACAGAACACCGAUUGCGAAGGCAUCUCACGAAUCCGCGAUUGACGCUGAUGCACGAAAGCGUGGGUAUCAAACAGGAUUAGAUACCCCUGUAGUC